AAAUUGAAGAGUUUGAUCAUGGCUCAGAUUGAACGCUGGCGGCAGGCCUAACACAUGCAAGUCGAACGGUAACAGGAAGCAGCUUGCUGCUUUGCUGACGAGUGGCGGACGGGUGAGUAAUGUCUGGGAAACUGCCUGAUGGAGGGGGAUAACUACUGGAAACGGUGGCUAAUACCGCAUAACGUCGCAAGACCAAAGAGGGGGACCUUCGGGCCUCUUGCCAUCAGAUGUGCCCAGAUGGGAUUAGCUUGUUGGUGAGGUAACGGCUCACCAAGGCGACGAUCCCUAGCUGGUCUGAGAGGAUGACCAGCCACACUGGAACUGAGACACGGUCCAGACUCCUACGGGAGGCAGCAGUGGGGAAUAUUGCACAAUGGGCGCAAGCCUGAUGCAGCCAUGCCGCGUGUAUGAAGAAGGCCUUCGGGUUGUAAAGUACUUUCAGUCGGGAGGAAGGUGUUGUGGUUAAUAACCACAGCAAUUGACGUUACCCGCAGAAGAAGCACCGGCUAACUCCGUGCCAGCAGCCGCGGUAAUACGGAGGUGCAAGCGUUAAUCGGAAUUACGUGGCGUAAAGCGCACGCAGGCGGUCUGUCAA
rnacentral:rRNA from 1 species